GAGGGGAUAGCUCAGUGGUAGAGCGUGUGCUUAGCAUGCAUGGGGUCCUGGGUUCAGCCCCCGGUCCCUCCA
rnacentral:tRNA from 1 species